rnacentral:rRNA from 1 species
UCCCAAGGCUAAAUACUCUCUAGUGACCGAUAGUGAACCAGUACCGUGAGGGAAAGGUGAAAAGCACCCCGGGAGGGGAGUGAAAGAGUACCUGAAACCGUGUGCCUACAAGUAGUCGAAGCGCGUUCAUGCGUAACGGCGUACCUUUUGUAGAAUGGACCGGCGAGUUACGAUUGUAUGCAAGGUUAAGUGGAAGACACGGAGCCGUAGCGAAAGCGAGUCUGAAUAGGGCGAUUUAGUAUGCGGUCGUAGACCCGAAACCGUGUGAUCUACCCAUGUCCAGGGUGAAGGUCAGGUAACACUGACUGG